CAGAUUUUUAGGCAUGAAAAAUCAAAAUUUGUGUCAAUUUUUCGAAAAUUCUCCAUAAUGUAUGAUUAUUUCAGGAAAAUGAAGGCAAUAUUAUUCGGUCUCUCCCCUUGGCUACGCCACUGUUAGAUUUCAGGAUUCAAUCCCGUUUCUCCACCUCUCUGUGCCUCGCGUUAGGUUAUCGCGUCUCUAAUUUGCAAAUGAAAAAAAUGAAAAAAAUAAAAAAAAUAACUGAUAACAGAAAUGUGACAAGUACCUAGAUAUAGGUAUGUACAUAAUUUGGUGAUGAAUUUCAUUUCCAGAUAGAGAGAAAAACGUGCAGGUGAUUCAUUGGAAGUUGACAUCGAAAUUUAGCUGAGGGAAAAAAACACUCAUCUUUGAUUAGUAACGUCUAACGUUACAUGAGUUAUUUGGUAUCACGAUAGCGAAAUCGUUUCAUCAGUUGAGUUUAUACCUCAAAAGUUACUCUUAGUCACUGUGUUUGUGAAAAAAGUUAUUCUGUUUUCUGCGAAUGCAUAAUUUCAUCAAUUGAAAUCUACUAAAGAUUUUCACAUGGCAGGUGGACUGGAGGAAGUUCUGGUGAUCGUGUUCCUCAUUGUCCUAUGGAUAUCCUCGUCAAUCAGCGUAAUCUUCCAUUUGUACAAGUUUUACAACUCUCCAACACCUAAAAGCCUACCAGCAUGGACUACUUCUUUUUACUGUUGUUUUCUACUGCUGAUCUACAUUUUAACAGUAUAUAUGGAUGUAUUCAUUAUCAUGCAAAGGGCAAUGCUGACGGCGGAAUCCAUCAAAUUCAUAAUCGUUUUCGAUAUACUGCUGACAUUUUACAAUACCGCCGUCCAUUCUGAAAAGCCUUCUUCGGUUAUUCCAAAUAAGAAAUUGGUUUACUACCUCUUCAGCACGAGUAUUCCAGUUCUUUACUCGAUUGUUUUUUUCAUAUCAAUUGGAGAAAGAAAUCCGCGUGACAUUUUGUUUGGACCAUUCGCCAUCGCCAAGAUUAUUCGUGUCGUCGAAUAUGGAGUUAUUAUUGGCACAUUUUGGUAUAUCAGAUUGAUUAGUAAGAGUACAAACGGACUAUGGGAAAAAUACGGCGUACAUUUGCGUAUUCUUAUCAUUAUUGGAGGAUCGUCUAUUGUGAUCGACAUUCUAGAUGCCUGGUUCAUGAUGCACCGCAACGAUUGCGAAUUUAAACGACACAGAAUUAACAACUGUGCUGACCCAUAUUGUUGGGAAUAUUUUCUAGAAGGAUUCACCAUUGGGUUAUUCGCAUUGGAAAAAAAUACAUUUUGAGCAUCUGCAACCCAAUUGAAUUAGCAAUCAAUGCAAUGCAUUGCUAAUGGAAUAUAAUGGGUAAGAAUUUAUCCUCACGAAAAUCACAUUAAUCUAUGAUUAUAAUAAGCAUGUAGGCUAUAGGCAUUAUUACCUACAAUGUAUUAUUCUUAUAAAAAUACAGAUCUCUUCACGUAUGUAAAUUAUUCCGUUCUUAUUCAAAUAGUGAGGGGUUUUUGUUAGAAAUAAUUUGAAAUUCUUUUAAUAUUUUUCUUGAGAAUUUUUAAAAAUAAGGUAAAGUACCAGUUGUAGAUAGGGGUUUUCAAAUGAAUUUUUUGGGCCCAAUUUUGAACCUUUUCUCAAUCUGAUGGUUUGUACGUGUAAAGUGAAGCUUUCUGCACAAAAUAAGUAUAUGAAAAACAAAUUUUUUUAUUGAAACUUCUAUCUUACAGAGCCAUUCUACAAAUCCUCAAAUUAUCUGUAACUGAACUUCAGGCUCAGUUACGGAUAAUUCAACCAAUUCUUACAGAAAAAAAUACACGCGGUGAAUACACCCUAAACUAUCAUACUAGGUAACUUGUCCAAACAGAAAACAUUUUUUUGGUUCCAAGUUCUUUGAAAAAAAGUACCAAUUGAGGAUAGAAUAAUCCAUAUUGGUCCAGUAGUUCAUGCUCAAUGGACCAACAGUCCAUUACCUUAUGGACUACAGUCCAUGAGUAAAA